GUCAGGUUCCCGCAAUUCGGCGCGGGCGAGGCGGCCAAAGAGAGGGCGCUCAUUGGCUGCCACAGCCCCGGUCCGAGAGGCCGAAGAAGGCUGAUUCGUCACAGGCCGUCAGCGCGGGCCACGCCUAUUUCCUCUCCAGGUUCUAAUUAGGUCAGGGGCCCUACAGCCUCUUGGGUAGUUUGCAAGUGCGUCGCGGAGCCGGCCUCGGAAAUAUGGCGACAGGGCAUCAUACUACCCAACUUCCAACUAUACUACAAGGCUACAGUAAUCAAAACAGCAUGGUACUGGUACAAAAACAGACACAUAGACCAAUGGAACAAAAUAGAGAACCCAGAAAUAAAGUUAUUAAAAAGUCAUGAAAUAACAGAUGCUGUUGAGGUUGUGGAGAUACCUCAACAGGACUGUAAACUAGUUCAACCAUUGUGGAAGUCAGUGUGGCGAUUCCUCAGGGAUCUAUUGCGGCAUUAUUCACAAUAGCAAAGACUUGGAACCAACUCAAAUGUCCAACAAUGAUAGACUGGAUUAAGAAAAUGCGGCACAUAUACACCAUGGAAUACUAUGCAGCCAUAAAAAAUGAUGAGUUCAUGUCCUUUGUAGGGACAUGGAUGAAAUUGGAAAUCAUCAUUCUCAGUAAACUAUCGCAAGAACAAAAAACCAAACACCACAUAUUCUCACUCAUAGGUGGGAAUUGAACAAUGAGAACACAUGGACACAGGAAGGGGAACAUCACACUCUGGGGCCUGUUGUGGGGUGGGGAGGCGGGGAGGGAUAGCACUGGGAGAAAUACCUAGUGCUAGGUGAUGAGUUGGUGGGUGCAGCGCACCAGCACGGCACAUGUAUACAUAUGUAACUAACCUGCACAUUGUGCACAUGUACCCUAAAACUUAAAGUUUAAUAAUAAUAAAUACAUAAAUAAAUAAAUAAAUAAAUAAUUUUAAAAAAGGCAAUUCUUUUUGUUUGUUUGUUUUUUGAGAUGGAGUCUUGCUGUGUUGCCCAGGCUGGAGUGCAGUGGUGCGAUCCUGGCUCACUGCAACCUCCGCCUCCCAGGUUCAGGUGAUCCUCCUCCCAAGUAGCUGGAAUUACAGGCAUGUGCAAACAUGCCCAGCUAUUUUUUUUUUUUUUUGUAUUUGUAGUAGAGACAGGGUUUCACCAUGUUGGCCAGGCUGGUCUCGAACUCUUAUGGAAGUGAGCAGUGAAAUAAGCUUCCUACUUAGCAUACCAAUUAGUGGUAUAGAAAUAGAUGCUUUUAAAGUGCUUGAAGAGUUUGCUUUUCUCAGGCACUUUUGAGUGGAUAUAUGAAGGAUCAUCAGACAUCUUGUACUGCAAAGGUUAAAGUGUUCCCAGAUUUGAAGCUGAGGGCACAAGGAUCAUGAUAUAUGCUAGGCUUCCUUAUCGGAUGUCACUGAGCGUGGUUUGCAGAGGCCUGUUUCUAAUGGCUGGGGAUGAGGAGACAAACCAGAGGGUCAGCCUCUUGUUCCCAGAACUUGGGAGGCACCUGGUUCCUUGGUUUUGAGUCCACGUUACCAGACACAUGCCCAGCAGGCCUGAUCAGCUUCUCAGUCACUUUUCCAUUUCCCUUUCUUCUCUAAGCUAUUUAGAGUUAGUCCAAUUUUUUUCAGGCAUUUAAAAUAGCAAAAUAGCUCAGAUUAAUCAAUGCCAUGGAACAGCUGAAGUUAUUAUCCAGUCCACUGAUGUGUCGUGGUUCUUCUUGAUUACUAAGUUCUUUUGAACAUACACACGGUUUUUGUUAUAGCUUUUCUAGUGGAAUAGUAGAUUCACUUUAGGGCUCAGCUGGAGAAGGGAUAGGGAUCAUGGAAGGCGAUCAUAUCUUAUGAUAUGGAGGGAGGCACAAUACGGAAUUAAAACCUCCACUAUAAAAUUAGGAUGAGGUUAUUUUUGGUAUUUUCAUUAUUUAUUAUGUCUUCUGUGGAGUCCUAAUUAGGGAAAAGGAGUCAGGCUGGCAGGACCAAGGGAAAGCAAAAAAAGAAAGCAGAUACCUUUCUUCGUGGUCCAGGACAUAUAGCCCUCCUGCACAAAUAACUCGCAAUCUUCCUGUACCCAACUAUUACCAGACACCCUGAAGUUAGUUCACUGCAACCUUGGCAUUAUCAGCACUGCACAAAGCUCUUUUCAGCAUACAGCAUAAACUCUAUUCUAUAAUAUAAACUCUCCAGCCAAGCCUGUUUCUUUGCAGUCAGCUUCUCUCAUGCUGAUACUGCCAGUUGCCUCUCUGGCAAAAUAUUUUCCUACUUUCUCUAGUAAAUCUGCCUUUCUGUACCUACAAUUAAUUCUCUUGGUAAAUUCUUUUACCCCUGCACCAUCGGCUCAGAUAGUUGUCUCUCCCCCAUAACAUCUCCCUUUAAUGCAGACCAAUAAGAAGGACC
rnacentral:lncRNA from 10 species